GAAGUGCGAUAAGCAAUGCGAAUUGCAGAACCGUGAGUCAUCAGAUUUUUGAACGCAACUGGCGCUGGCUGGGUCUCCAGCCAGCAUGCUUGUUUCAGUGUCUUGUUUUCUCCUCACCCAAAUCUUAAUGCGAGAGAUACCCUUCUCUUGCCAAGCACGAAAGCACUCUGUGCUCUGCCAGCGGCUUCUUGGACUUGUCCGGAAGUCGCACUCAAUGCAGAUCGUCACAUUUCUCACAAUGUGAACUCAUUGAGAGCAGACGCAUUCAACUUCGGUUGUCAGUGCUUAGCCACUCAAACUCUAUUUGCAUCUGAAAUCAAGCAGGAUCACCCGCUGAACUUAA
rnacentral:misc_RNA from 1 species